rnacentral:rRNA from 1 species
AUUGAACGCUGGCGGCAGGCCUAACACAUGCACGUCGAACGAGUGGCGGACGGGUGAGUAAUGUCUGGGAAACUGCCCGAUGGAGGGGGAUAACUACUGGAACCGGUAGCUAAUACCGCAUACCAUCAGAUGUGCCCAGAUGGGAUUAGCUCGUUGGUGGGGUAACGGCUCACCUAGGCGCCGAUCCCUAGCUGGUCUGAGAGGUUGACCAGCCAAACUGGAACUGAGAAACGGUACCGAAUCCUACGGGAGGCAGCAGUGGGGAAUAUUGCACAAUGGGCGCAAGCCUGAUGCAGCCAUGCCGCGUGUAUGAAGAAGGCCUUCGGUUUGGAAAGUACUUUCAGCGGGGAGGCGUUACCCGCAGAAGAAGCACCGGCUAACUCCGUGCCAGCAGCCGCGGUAAUAC